GGGACCAGGAUGUGGAUCUAGGCACCGUGAACUCACAAACAUCUCUGCCAAGCAGGAUGUGUCAGGGAGAGACUCACAGGAGCCCAUUUAAAGACAUCACAAAGGAACUUCCCUCCCACAGCAUGCCACUCCAUCACACAGAUGUCAGAUGUCAGGGCAGGCUCAGUGUGAAUGCCACCCUUGAGGUUUCAUUAAGAGGCAAGCCUGCGCUCAGUGGUGGAUGGGAAGGUUUUAAUUAUGCCAUCAGAGUUCAUCCAUAGAAACGAAUUUUCUCACUUCUGAAGGAGUAGUCCGGUGUCAGAUGCAGGAUGGAGUGGGCCAGGCGUGUAGCCUAGCUUCUUAAGCUAAUCAUCACACGGAAAGAGUCACUGAGGAAGAAAAGGCAUGAGCGCACGGUCUUGGCCUCCUGAGCGCUGUGUGUGAGGUAGGAAGGCAGAACCUCUGCUAACCAAACCAUGAACAGCAAGUUCCAAAAAGUGCCCACUAGAUGAUAAAGCAACAGAACACACUCAGCCACGGCAAGCAGAUUGCAGUAUGAGGAGGCACUAGGGGAUUUCACAGCCUCUGUGUCAUACCCUGCCCCUCAGAUUUCAUUAGAUUUACUGUGCUAAAAUUAAUUGGGUAUCACGUACAUAAGCUUGAACUGUGUGCUUGUACAAUGAGACAGUAAACUGGAGAGAUGAUUGGAAGACA